rnacentral:rRNA from 1 species
GACGAACGCUGGCGGCGUGCUUAACACAUGCAAGUCGAACGGAAAGGCCCUGCUUUUGUGGGGUGCUCGAGUGGCGAACGGGUGUGUAACACGUGAGUAACCUGCCCUUGACUUUGGGAUAACUUCAGGAAACUGGGGCUAAUACCGGAUAGGAGCUCCUGCUGCAUGGUGGGGGUUGGAAAGUUUCGGCGGUUGGGGAUGGACUCGCGGCUUAUCAGCUUGUUGGUGGGGUAGUGGCUUACCAAGGCUUUGACGGGUAGCCGGCCUGGGAGGGUGACCGGCCAAAUUGGGACGGAGAUACGGCCAAGACUCCAACGGGAGGCAGCAGUGGGGAAUAUUGCACAAGGGGCGGAAGCCUGAUGCAGCAACGCCGCGUGCGGGAUGACGGCCUUCGGGUUGUAAACCGCUUUCGCCUGUGACGAAGCGUGAGUGACGGUAACGGGUAAAGAAGCACCGGCUAACUACGUG